rnacentral:rRNA from 1 species
UACGGAGGGUGCGAGCGUUACCCGGAUUUACUGGGUGUAAAGGGCGUGUAGGCGGUUUCUCAAGUCUGGUGCUAAAGACUGGGGCUCAACCCCAGUAGUGCGCUGGAUACUGUGAGGCUAGACGGUCGGAGAGGGUAGCGGAAUUCUCGGAGUAGCGGUGAAAUGCGCAGAUACCGAGAGGAACGCCAAUAGCGAAAGCAGCUACCUGGACGAUUUGUGACGCUGAGGCGCGAAAGCGUGGGGAGCAAACCGG